rnacentral:rRNA from 1 species
CAGUAGCCGCGGGAAAACGAAGGGUGCAAGCGUUACUCGGAAUUACUGGGCGUAAAGCGUGCGUAGGUGGUGGUUUAAGUCCGUUGUGAAAGCCCUAGGCUCAACCUGGGAAUUGCAGUGGAUACUGGGUCACUAGAGUGUGGUAGAGGAUAGUGGAAUUUCCGGUGUAGCAGUGAAAUGCGUAGAGAUCGGAAGGAACAUCUGUGGCGAAGGCGACUAUCUGGGCCAACACUGACACUGAGGCACGAAAGCGUGGGGAGCAAACAGGAUUAGAUACCCCCGUAGUCCCUGUCUCUUAUAC